rnacentral:tRNA from 1 species
GUGGCAGUAGCUCAGUUGGUUAGAGCGCGUCCCUGUGGAGGAUGAGGUCGAGGGUCCGAGUCCCUUCUGCUACCCCA